AUCCAGUUGACGAGUCCCAAAUAGGACGAAAUGAGCAUCCUGGAU
rnacentral:hammerhead_ribozyme from 1 species